rnacentral:rRNA from 1 species
GACGAACGCUGGCGGCGUGCCUAAUACAUGCAAGUUGAGCGAUGAAGAUUGGUGCUUGCACCAAUUUGCAGAGCAGCGAACGGGUGAGUAACGCGUGGGGAAUCUGCCUUUGAGCGGGGGACAACAUUUGGAAACGAAUGCUAAUACCGCAUAACAACUUUAAACAUAAGUUUUAAGUUUGAAAGAUGCAAUUGCAUCACUCAAAGAUGAUCCCGCGUUGUAUUAGCUAGUUGGUGAGGUAAAGGCUCACCAAGGCGAUGAUACAUAGCCGACCUGAGAGGGUGAUCGGCCACAUUGGGACUGAGACACGGCCCAAACUCCUACGGGAGGCAGCAGUAGGGAAUCUUCGGCAAUGGACGAAAGUCUGGCCGAGCAACGCCGCGUGAGUGAAGAAGGUUUUCGGAUCGUAAAACUCUGUUGGUAGAGAAGAACGUUGGUGAGAGUGGAAAGCUCAUCAAGUGACGGUAACUACCCAGAAAGGGACGGCUAACUACGUG